UACAGAGGUCUCAAGCGUUGUUCGGAUUCAUUGGGCGUAAAGGGUGCGUAGGCGGCGCGGUAAGUCGGGUGUGAAAUCUCGGAGCUUAACUCCGAAACUGCAUUCGAUACUGCCGUGCUUGAGGACUGGAGAGGAGACUGGAAUUUAAGGUGUAGCGGUGAAAUGCGUAGAUAUCGUAAGGAAGACCAGUGGCGAAGGCGGGUCUCUGGACAGUUCCUGACGCUGAGGCACGAAGGCCAGGGGAGCAAACGGG
rnacentral:rRNA from 1 species